rnacentral:rRNA from 1 species
GACGAACGCUGGCGGCGUGCUUAACACAUGCAAGUCGAACGGAAAGGCCCUGCUUUUGUGGGGUGCUCGAGUGGCGAACGGGUGAGUAACACGUGAGUAACCUGCCCUUGACUUUGGGAUAACUUCAGGAAACUGGGGCUAAUACCGGAUAGGAGCUCCUGCUGCAUGGUGGGGGUUGGAAAGUUUCGGCGGUUGGGGAUGGACUCGCGGCUUAUCAGCUUGUUGGUGGGGUAGUGGCUUACCAAGGCUUUGACGGGUAGCCGGCCUGGGAGGGUGACCGGCCACAUUGGGACUGGGGUACGGCCCAGACUCCUACGGGAGGCAGCGGUGGGGAAUAUUGCACAAUGGGCGGAAGCAUGAUGCAGCAACGCCCGUGCGGGAUGACGGCCUUCGGGUUGUAAACCGCUUUCGCCUGUGACGAAGCGUGAGUGACGGUAAUGGGUAAAGAAGCACCGGCUAACUACGUG